rnacentral:tRNA from 1 species
AUCCGCUAGAGUUCAACACGUCGCCGGGACGCGGAAGCGGACCGAAACGACAGGCGGACGUAGCUCAGUUGGUAGA